UGCGCUAAUAGAUGAGCCUAAGUCAGAUUAGCUAGUUGGUGGGGUAAAGGCCUACCAAGGCGACGAUCUGUAGCGGGUCUGAGAGGAUGAUCCGCCACACUGGGACUGAGACACGGCCCAGACUCCUACGGGAGGCAGCAGUGGGGAAUAUUGGACAAUGGGCGAAAGCCUGAUCCAGCCAUGCCGCGUGUGUGAAGAAGGCCUUUUGGUUGUAAAGCACUUUAAGCGAGGAGGAGGCUACUUGGAUUAAUACUCUAGGAUAGUGGACGUUACUCGCAGAAUAAGCACCGGCUAACUCUGUGCCAGCAGCCGCGGUAAUACAGAGGGUGCGAGCGUUAAUCGGAUUUACUGGGCGUAAAGCGUGCGUAGGCGGCUUUUUAAGUCGGAUGUGAAAUCCCUGAGCUUAACUUAGGAAUUGCAUUCGAUACUGGGAAGCUAGAGUAUGGGAGAGGAUGGUAGAAUUCCAGGUGUAGCGGUGAAAUGCGUAGAGAUCUGGAGGAAUACCGAUGGCGAAGGCAGCCAUCUGGCCUAAUACUGACGCUGAGGUACGAAAGCAUGGGGAGCAAACAGGAUUAGAUACCCUGGUAGUCCAUGCCGUAAACGAUGUCUACUAGCCGUUGGGGCCUUUGAGGCUUUAGUGGCGCAGCUAACGCGAUAA
rnacentral:rRNA from 1 species